UCUAGUCUUUUGUCAAAGUAGUGAUGUGCAAGGGAAAAUGUGAUUGGCUCUUUGUCUUUGGACUGACGUCACUGGUGGAUACAGCGUGAGCGCGCAUUUUCGAAUGGCUGCUGAUCACUAUUCCAGAAAGAUCAAAGCAAGGCCAACCAGGAUUAGAUGAAAAUGUGUAUCAAGAAUUCAACCAGAUAGUUAGAAAGAAUCUUAAGCAAGAAUUCUAUGGGUCUCUUGAUCCUCACUGUCCACAGCUGAUCCAGAUCUUCAGGUCAAAGAGAGGUCUUACUGUGUUGCCAUUGAGUGCUUCCAGUACUUCUUGGUGAUGACCCAACUGAGUUCUUCAAAGCAUGUUUUCUUCAGAUUAUGGAGACUCAUGCCAACAUGUGCCCACUGGAUUCCUUAACCGAGAAAAUUAAGAUGUGGCUCUGCAACCCCUGUCCUUCCGCCUCCACCCAUCCUCAGUGGGAAUCAUCUAGGAGGGGAAUGUUGAAAUGGACAAUAUACCCCAGGCCAUGUAACUUUUUGGAUUAACCUAUGAACUACACCUAGGCUACCCAAAGUGCAUGGACAAUACCCUUCUUUUCAUUCAACAAGUUUGGGUAAGAAGACGCUGAAGGGUAAGAUUCUGGCUGUUAAAAUCAACUUGCCAUGUAAAAAGGUACAGAAAAGGCAUAUUCCUUCAGACUUGCUGUCCUAAUUGUGAGAUCAAAAUUUUUUUAAACUAUGCCUUAGUGUUUGGCAAGUGUUAAUAUUCCAUAAUGUUACAAUUUAAUAACAUACUGUGGUUGUUUAUGAUUUGUAUGUGUUUGUAAAAAUUGUUUAAAAGAUUUUAAGCAAUUGUUUUAAUACGAUUUAUAACAAUAAAUAUUGACUAAUUGUUGUA